rnacentral:rRNA from 1 species
UACGAGGGGCUAGCGUUGUCGGAAUUACUGGGCGUAAAGCGCACGUAGGCGGCUUUGUAAGUUAGAGGUGAAAGCCCAGGGCUUAACCCUGGAAUUGCCUUUAAGACUGCAUCGCUAGAAUCGUGGAGAGGUGAGUGGAAUUCCGAGUGUAGAGGUGAAAUUCGAUAGAUAUUCGGAAGGAACACCAGUGGCGAAGGCGGCUCACUGGACGACUGUUGACGCUGAGG